UGGGGAAUUUUGGACAAUGGGCGAAAGCCUGAUCCAGCAAUGCCGCGUGUGUGAAGAAGGCCUUCGGGUUGUAAACCGCUUUUGUCAGGGAAGAAAUCUUCUGAGUUAAUACCUCGGGGAGGAUGACGGUACCUGAAGAAUAAGCACCGGCUAACUACGUGCCAGCAGCCGCGGUAAUACGUAGGGUGCAAGCGUUAAUCGGAAUUACUGGGCGUAAAGCGUGCGCAGGCGGUUUUGUAAGACAGAGGUGAAAUCCCCGGCGUCAACCUGGGAACUGCCUUUGUGACUGCAAGGCUUGAGUGCGGCAGAGGGGGAUGGAAUUCCGCGUGUAGCAGUGAAAUGCGUAGAUAUGCGGAGGAACACCGAUGGCGAAGGCAAUCCCCUGGGCCUGCACUGACGCUCGUGCACGAAAGCGUGGGGAGCAAACAGGAUUAGAUACCCUGGUAGUCCACGCCCUAAACGAUGUCAACUGGUUGUUGGGAAGGUUCCUUCUCAGUAACGUAGCUAACGCGUGAAGUUGACCACCUGGGGAGUACGGCCGCAAGGUUGAAACUCAAAUGAA
rnacentral:rRNA from 1 species